UAAUUCGUAGGGCUGCUGCUGCUGGCGUCUGGGAACCCUGUGACAGCUGCCGAUUUCACGUGUGCUUUCCGCUCUGAUCUGCCACUGACGUAUAAGUCAAAUAUGUUUCCAUGGCAGCCACCCGUCCCUGUGACCAGCCAAGAGUCUAUCCCUGACAAAAAAAACAAAAAAAAAAAAA